rnacentral:rRNA from 1 species
UACGUAGGGUGCGAGCGUAAUCGGAAUUACUGGGCGUAAAGCGUGCGCAGGCGGUUAUGUAAGACAGGUGUGAAAUCCCCGGGCUUAACCUGGGAACUGCAUUUGUGACUGCAUAGCUAGAGUACGGUAGAGGGGGAUGGAAUUCCGCGUGUAGCAGUGAAAUGCGUAGAUAUGCGGAGGAACACCGAUGGCGAAGGCAAUCCCCUGGACCUGUACUGACGCUCAUGCACGAAAGCGUGGGGAGCAACAGG